rnacentral:rRNA from 1 species
UAGGGAAUAUUGGACAAUGGGGGCAACCCUGAUCCAGCAAUGCCGCGUGUGUGAUGAAGGCCUUAGGGUUGUAAAGCACUUUCACUGGUGAAGAUGAUGACGGUAACCAGAGAAGAAGCCCCGGCUAACUUCGCGCCAGCAGCCGCGGUAAUACGAAGGGGGCGAGCGUUGUUCGGAAUUACUGGGCGUAAAGGGCGCGUAGGCGGUCUUUUAAGUUAGGCGUGAAAGCCCCGGGCUCAACCCGGGAACUGCGCUUAAGACUGGAAGACUAGAAAACGGAAGAGGGUAGUGGAAUUCCCAGUGUAGAGGUGAAAUUCGUAGAUAUUGGGAAGAACACCAGUGGCGAAAGCGGCUACCUGGUCCGAUUUUGACGCUGAGGCGCGAAAGCGUGGGGAGCAAACAGGAUUAGAUACCCAGGUAGUCCACGCCGUAAACGAUGUCUGCUAGAUGUCGGGGGGUUGCCCCUCGGUGUCGCCGCUAACGCAUUAAGCAGACCGCCUGGGAAGUACGGUCGCAAGAUUA